UACGGAGGGUGCAAGCGUUAUCCGGAUUCACUGGGUUUAAAGGGUGCGUAGGCGGGCAGGUAAGUCCGUGGUGAAAUCUCUGAGCUUAACUCAGAAACUGCCAUGGAUACUAUUUGUCUUGAAUAUAGUGGAGGUGAGCGGAAUAUGUCAUGUAGCGGUGAAAUGCUUAGAUAUGACAUAGAACACCUAUUGCGAAGGCAGCAGACUACGCAUAUAUUGACGCUGAGGCACGAAAGCGUGGGGAUCAAACAGG
rnacentral:rRNA from 1 species